UUGGAGGGCAAGUCUGGUGCCAGCAGCCGCGGUAAUUCCAGCUCCAAUAGCGUAUAUUAAAGUUGCUGCAGUUAAAAAGCUCGUAGUUGAAUUUCGGGAUCAAAUUGUCGGUCGUGCCUCGGUACGCACUGGUAUUAUUGGUUCCUACCUUCUGAAGAACCGCGAAGUCAUUAAUUUGGUGUCGUGGGGAAUCAGGACUGUUACUUUGAAAAAAUUAGAGUGUUUAAAGCAGGCUUACGCUUGAAUACAUUAGCAUGGAAUAAUGAAAUAGGACGUUUGAUUCUAUUUUGUUGGUUUCUAGGAUUGACGUAAUGAUUAAUAGGGAUAGUUGGGGGCAUUAGUAUUCAAUUGUCAGAGGUGAAAUUCUUGGAUUUAUUGAAGACUAACUACUGCGAAAGCAUUUGCCAAGGAUGUUUUCAUUAAUCAAGAACGAAAGUUAGGGGAUCGAAGACGAUCAGAUACCGUCGUAGUCUUAACCAUAAACUAUGCCGACUAGGGAUCGGAUGAUGUUAAUUUUUUAAUGACUCAUUCGGCGCCUUACGGGAAACCAAAGUGUUUGGGUUC
rnacentral:rRNA from 1 species